rfam:Lactobacillus equi DPC 6820 NODE_139, whole genome shotgun sequence.
UUGGUAGAGCACCUGGUUUGGGACCAGGGGGUCGCAGGUUCGAAUCCUGUCUUCCCGA